rnacentral:rRNA from 1 species
AACGAACGCUGGCGGCAUGCCUAACACAUGCCAGUCGAACGAGACCUUCGGGUCUAGUGGCGCACGGGUGCGUAACGCGUGGGAACCUGCCGUUAGGUUCGGAAUAACUCAGAGAAAUUUGAGCUAAUACCGGAUGAUUUCUUCGGACCAAAGAUUUAUCGCCUUUAGAUGGGCCGGCGUUGGAUUAGCUAGUUGGGGGGGUAAAGGCCUACCAAGGCGACGAUCCAUAGCUGGUCUGAGAGGAUGAUCAGCCACACUGGGACUGAGACACGGCGCAGAAUACUACGGGAGGCAGCAGUGGGGAAUAUUGGAAAAUGGGCGAAAGCCUGAACCAGCAAGGCCGCGUGAGUGAUGAAGGCCGUAGGGUUGUAAAGCUCUUUUACCCGAGAUGAUAAUGACAGUAUCGGGAGAAUAAGCACCGGCUAACUUCGUG